rnacentral:rRNA from 1 species
UACGGAGGGUGCGAGCGUUGUCCGGAAUCACUGGGCGUAAAGGGCGCGUAGGCGGCCUGAUAAGUAGGGGGUGAAAUCCUGCGGCUUAACCGCAGGGCUGCCUUCUAAACUGUCAGGCUUGAGCACAGUAGAGGCAGGUGGAAUUCCCGGUGUAGCGGUGGAAUGCGUAGAGAUCGGGAAGAACAUCAGUGGCGAAGGCGGUUCUCUGGGACGGUACUGACGCUGAGACGCGAAAGCGUGGGGAGCGAACAGG